GGACGGGUGAGUAAUGCAUAGGAAUCUGCCCAGUAGUGGGGGACAACUCGGGGAAACUCGAGCUAAUACCGCAUGUGUCUUACGAGACAAAGACUUCGGUCGCUAUUGGAUGAGCCUAUGUCAGAUUAGCUUGUUGGUGGGGUAAAGGCCUACCAAGGCUACGAUCUGUAGCUGGUCUGAGAGGAUGAUCAGCCACACUGGGACUGAGACACGGCCCAGACUCCUACGGGAGGCAGCAGUGGGGAAUAUUGGACAAUGGGCGAAAGCCUGAUCCAGCAAUGCAGCGUGUGUGAAGAAGGCCUGCGGGUUGUAAAGCACUUUCAGUAGGGAAGAUAAUGACGGUACCUA
rnacentral:rRNA from 1 species